CCACGGGAGGCUGCAGUGGGGAAUAUUGGACAAUGGGCGAAAGCCUGAUCCAGCCAUGCCGCGUGUGUGAAGAAGGCCUUCGGGUUGUAAAGCACUUUCAGUGGGGAAGAAAGCCUUGGGGCUAAUACCCUCGAGGAAGGACAUCACCCACAGAAGAAGCACCGGCUAACUCCGUGCCAGCAGCCGCGGUAAUACGGAGGGUGCGAGCGUUAAUCGGAAUUACUGGGCGUAAAGCGCGCGUAGGCGGUCUGAUAAGCCGGUUGUGAAAGCCCCGGGCUCAACCUGGGAACGGCAUCCGGAACUGUCAGGCUAGAGUGCAGGAGAGGAAGGUAGAAUUCCCGGUGUAGCGGUGAAAUGCGUAGAGAUCGGGAGGAAUACCAGUGGCGAAGGCGGCCUUCUGGACUGACACUGACGCUGAGGUGCGAAAGCGUGGGUAGCAAACAGGAUUAGAUACCCUGGUAGU
rnacentral:rRNA from 1 species